rfam:Neotoma lepida isolate 417 scaffold_20, whole genome shotgun sequence.
CAGCUGCCUUCUUCAACAGUGUUUGAAAGGCAUUC